rnacentral:tRNA from 1 species
CGGGAUGUAAUUCAGUGGUCAGAAGAGGGAUACUUUGGGAGUAUGGAGCCGCAGGUUCGAGUCCUGCCAUCCCGA